rnacentral:lncRNA from 1 species
AAAGGAUUGAGCAGGGUUUUGGUUUUGGUUGCAAGUAACAGAAACCCAACGCUAAUUAAUAAACGGGAAAGUGUGUCAGUGGAAAUCUCCACAAGUCCGACGGAAAGAGAAAACUGCUUUCCCAAAGGGUGUAAGAGGAUGAAAGGCAUGUCAUCAGCUGAAUUGCAUCAGGUGUCCAUCUUGGAAUCAAUCACGGUGCCUCUUAUUAGCAAAGCCUGAGUCAUAGGUGAGUCUAUACUUGGAUGGGGUAGUAAGGAAAUCCCAUGUUGAUUGCAUGGAUGGAAAGUGGGGGUGUUGUGGUUUCAUAAUGGC